CCAGCUCAGUCUGUACAGCAUGAGACUCGUAAUCUCAAGGUUGUGGGUUCAAAUCCCACAUUGAAGA